UGAGAGGCCAUAAGAGCACAAAUAAAUGCCCAAUAAAAGCAGAAAGCAAUUAAUAGGGGAUGGAACUACAUGAAGAAGAAAGAAAGUCAUACACAUCUGGGAUGGCUUGAGGGUGAGUAAAUGGUUUCCCAAAUGUUAUCGGUGCAUUGGACUGCACCCAUGUGCGUAUUAAGUGUCCGUCUGGUCCACAUGAAGCGGAC